GCAUCUGAAUUUCUUUCUAAGGAGACUGUAACGUAUUACGAAAGGUGAGAUCCAAGUGUCCUUUCUGUACACAUACUGUGAAGAGGAAAUCUGACUUGAAGCGACAUCUACGAUCACAUACAGGAGAGAGACCAUAUUAUUACAAUUCCUGUGACAAGCGAGUCACACGACUUGAGCAUCUCCGCAACCACCACCUGAGUGUCCACAGAUCUAGAGACAUCUUUACUUGCAAAGUUUGCAAGAAGCCAUUCACUGGCAUUGCAACCAAAACUGCACAAGAUGGUGCCAAAUCUUGUGCAUUAACUGCAUAGAUCCGUCGAAUUCUGAUGAGCCUAUCGACUUAGAUUCACAUACAGACCAUGAUACAGAAUUUCAGGAAAGUGACAAAGAGUCUGGCUGGAUUUCUAGAGAGCCUGAUGGCGAGACUGAGUUCCUGAGUUCUGGGGGAGAAGAUCCAGAAAGCUGCCAAGUUCAUGCAGCACGAGAAAUCCUGGCUGACGAAGAUGAACAAGUCUUAAGUUUAUGAUACCGUUGACAAGAGUGACUGAGGAACAUUCUGUGCUGAGUCAUUUCUAUUAAAGCAAGAAAAGUAUAAGAGUUACCCGAGGGGUUCAAAAUGUAAGUUGUAUCAAUUUGAAAUUUAUUUGCCCCUUAAAAUGUUAAUGAUAACAAUUGUAUUAGUUGUUUCUCGUUUCUGUUCAAUAGGAAAGGUGGGAUGGUAAUUGUUCAGAUUAUUGACAUUCUAUUGUAUAGCUUUGUUAAAGUGUUCCAUGUUGGAUAUUGUAUGUUUUUAAAACUAAAAGAGACUAAAGCCUAUAGCGAAGAACCUCUUCGGCACGUUUGUUAAAGAGAAAAUGGAUGCACAGAAUUGGAGUUAAAUUAAUAUCUUUGUUUCAGUCAUGGUAUAAUGUUAAAAUGUAUUUAUGUUCAAAUAUUCACCAUCAUGUUGCUCUGGUGGAGAGCCUGUGUGGGCAUAUUGGAUCAAUGAGCUUCUGUACUGUAUCCAUAUCAACCUACUUUUAUAUACAACAUUUUUUUUGCUCAAAAUGGUCUUCAAGAUGUAGGCUUACAAACCAUUGAAUCAGACAUGAACAAAAA